AUGGAUAAAAAUAGUCUUCUAAAUUCGCUUAUAAAAUCGUACAAUAAUGCUCGUCCGUUUAAGAAAAAAGUUGAUAGUCAAAAAAAAGUCCAUAAAAUAUGGAAUGAGAUCAAAGAAAAGAAAGAUUUGGAGGAUCAAGUAAAGACUUUGAUCCAAAAGUAUACCUCAAUGGUAUUGAAACAAAAAGGUUUUUUAAUGUCAUUUUGGGCCUAUCAAACAACCAAGCGAUCUGUUCCUUCCCAUUCCAGUUAUUCCGCUUUAGAGUUCCAGUCCGAUACAAAUCAAAUUAUUGAGCCGAUAGAUAUCGUUGAUACCACGUCAGAUAUCUCUCGCCCUGACAUCCUAAGCACAGUUCAAAUUGAGACGAAGAAGGCCAAGACUCAUGCUCAAGACACAAUCAAAUCAGAAAUUGUUGUUUUGAAUCAAGAAACAGUUGCUAUGAAGAGAAGAAAAAGAAGUGGCUUAUGGGCCGAUGCUGAAGAAGAAACCUUUAAAAAGAAGAAGGCCAAUGUCCAGGAACUCACGACUAAUCUUAAUAAGUUGAUCGGCAACAUUAAGUCAAAACAAAAAUCAAGGGCUGAAAAAAAAACUGUCAUGAAUCAGGUGUUUGCUUACCACCCGGAAGUGAAAAAAGCUCUUAAAGUACGUGACGGAAUCGGUCGCCCUACUAUUGAGGUAAAACAAUCUGAGAUAUUGCGUGUCAUCAUACAACUUGCUGAACAUGGAUCUGCUGCCCACGAUAAAAGACAAUCUGAAGUGUAUAGGAGCCUUAAAUUGUUGGAUGAGCUUGGUGCCGAGCUCGAAAAGAGAGGUUACCAUCUGCAGAAGUGCUUUAUAUACUCGUUUGCUGCCAAAACGGAGUGAUUCGCUUGAAGAGACACGUCCACACGGUUCCAGUCAAGUUGAUGCGGGCUCAAAAUGACCUCCAUUCAAGUCACGUGGAUGGUCCAUUUUGUACAGUAACUAUAAAGAAUGUGGAAGAAGUUUGCUCUUUUUUGGGCCCAAAGGAUGUGUGCUUUAUAAGUCAAGACGAUAAAGCUCAGAUCCCUAUAGGAAUCACUGCUGCCAACAAACAAGCUCCUAUAUUGAUGCAUAUGGAAUAUCGAGUUUCUCUUCCUGAUCAUGAUUGGGUCAUCGCUGCAAAGCACAAACUCAUCCCGUCCGUAUACGCAGGUAUCGCAAUCAAACCAGAUGGGCUUGGAAAAUCUGACGCAGUUUCCCAUUCCGGUCCCACUUAUGUUGCUAUUCGUUCCGGAAAGCAUUCAUCAUCGACAGCGUAUGCUCACGGAUUGGACUUUGAACGACUUUUGACUCUGCCAGAGUUUGAUUCCAUUACAAAAGAUCCUUUGACCAAGUUGGUCAAGCCAGUAGUUGUCUUCAGUGUUGAUGGUAGAUCAGAUGAAAAUCCACGAUACGCUAAAGUCAUCGAAAUUGCAAUACAUCAUUUCCUUACAAAUGAUUUGGAUGCCUUAUUGAUCAUGACGAAUGCGCCAGGACGGAGUGCUUUCAAUCGAGCCGAAAAAAGGAUGGCUCCACUGAGUAAAGAGUUGGCAGGAUUGAUCUUACCUCAUGAUCAUUAUGGAACUCAUCUAGACUCUAAAGGUAUUCAAAUUCAUUUUUAAUAUCAACUCUUUAUCAAAAUAUAAAUAUAUACAAGGCAUAAAGAAAUAAUUAUAUGCCUUGCGACUUAUAUUUAAGGCAGGACAGUGGAUCUUCUUUUGGACAAACAAAACUUUAAGUUUGCUGGAAAUAGCUGUGCCUCCGUCUUUUCAGGUCUGAUGAUUGAUCAGUUUCCAACGGUGGCCGAGUAUAUCGAUCCAGACAACAAGACGGAGCUCGAUGUUCAUCAUCUCUUAUCAAAGGAUCAGGACUGGUUUGCCUCUCAUGUGCGCACCAGUCAAUAUUUCAAGCAAAUUGUGAAAUGUGAAGAUCCCGCAUGUUGCGCUUUGAAAAGGAGCUCUUACUUACAUGUUAUUCCUGGUCGAUUUCUGCCUCCACCUAUUCCAAUUAGCCAGUCAGAAAAUGGCUUGAAAGCUGUAGCCAUUUCAGAUGUUGCCAGCAAGAACCGUUUUUCUUCUGUAUUUUUUCUUAUCGCUUCCAAUAUUCAGAGCACCAUUCCUCGAUCAUUGAUAUCAUUCAAACUUCCUCCUUACGAUCUGUUUUGUCCCUCUGUGCAAUCAAGUUUGUCUCAGAGAAUCUGCAAGCAUUGUAACUUGUACUUUGCCUCCCAAGUCAUGCUCAAAAAGCAUGUCAGCGUUACUCAUUCCAAUGUUAUUAACCAAAUGGCUAUUACUUUUUCGCAAAUCAGGCCGGUUUGCAUUGCCGCCAAGCGCAAAAGAGAGUUAAUGGCUGUAAUUGCAAUAAAGGAGAACGCGGCCUUUGCUUAAUGGUUCGAUGAGGAUGAAAUCGAAACGGAGGGCCUACAUACUCCGAAUGAUUCAACUAUUUUAGGCGAACCCGACUGCUCUAUUCCAAUCAUAUCAAUUGAUGAUUAUUUAAAAAAUCCUUGGAUGGAUGAUGCGUGAGGCAAGUUCUCAUGACACACUUUAAUUAAAUUUAAUAUAUAGAAUAAGACUAAAAUAAUAAAUAAUUUUUUUUUCUUUUUCAGAAAGGCAAAGGAGCAAAAACAUACGUGGAAAUACCUAAUCAGCUCCUGAAUGAUAUUUAAACAGAGAAAAAUGUAAUUCACAUGUAACAAUUGUCAAUAAAAAUGCUUAAAUUAAGAAAGGAUUUUUU
rnacentral:misc_RNA from 1 species